AGUCGAGCGGUAGAGAGAAGCUUGCUUCUCUUGAGAGCGGCGGACGGGUGAGUAAUGCCUAGGAAUCUGCCUGGUAGUGGGGGAUAACGUUCGGAAACGGACGCUAAUACCGCAUACGUCCUACGGGAGAAAGCAGGGGACCUUCGGGCCUUGCGCUAUCAGAUGAGCCUAGGUCGGAUUAGCUAGUUGGUGAGGUAAUGGCUCACCAAGGCGACGAUCCGUAACUGGUCUGAGAGGAUGAUCAGUCACACUGGAACUGAGACACGGUCCAGACUCCUACGGGAGGCAGCAGUGGGGAAUAUUGGACAAUGGGCGAAAGCCUGAUCCAGCCAUGCCGCGUGUGUGAAGAAGGUCUUCGGAUUGUAAAGCACUUUAAGUUGGGAGGAAGGGUUGUAGAUUAAUACUCUGCAAUUUUGACGUUACCGACAGAAUAAGCACCGGCUAACUCUGUGCCAGCAGCCGCGGUAAUACAGAGGGUGCAAGCGUUAAUCGGAAUUACUGGGCGUAAAGCGCGCGUAGGUGGUUUGUUAAGUUGGAUGUGAAAUCCCCCGGGCUCAACCUGGGAACUGCAUUCAAAACUGACUGACUAGAGUAUGGUAGAG
rnacentral:rRNA from 1 species